CACACAUAUCUAUCUAUCUAUCUAUCUAUCUAUCUAUCUAUCUAUCUAUCUAUCUAUCUAUCUAUCUAUCUAUCUAUCUCUAACUCUCAUCUAUAAUGUAUCCAUUCUAGUGGAGCCUGGCUUGUUCAUGUUCAGAGUUUUGUUUGUUAUUGUCCUCCUAAAUCUCAUGCCUUCAUCCCCCAAAGACUGUGUCAAUGGCAAAAUCAGGCAGGAGACAGGAACCUGUCAUAAUGCCAGCAUUCAAAGUUUCAACUAACUUCUCCUAAUUAGGAAAGUUUAAAAGAAAGUUUUCCAUUUGAAUGCUUCCCCCCCCCCAAAAAAAGAAACUUGAAAUGUGUCAUCACAGCGGUAUGCUAGGCACAAUUCUUCCAACUUCUCUCCCCCCCCCCAGAUCCUCUUGAAAUCUUUCAUGUUGCAUAAUAAAUGUCAUGCAAGUUAUGACUGUCUGGUAACUUGUCAUUAGUGGAAUGAAGGUUCUGACUUAACAUGAAAUCAAUUUUUUUUUUUUAAAAAAAAGCCAAAAUCAUGUUAUGGUGUCCAAAUAAUGUUCCAUAUCUAUAAGAAAAAUGGAUGUUUAAUGAUCAACACUGCUUCCACUUUUACUAAUUAAGUCAUAGAAACCCAGGUUCCUCUCCAAUCCUUGUUCAUUUUUCUCAGUCUAAGAACAGAUUUUACAUCCUAGGUUGCAAAUGUGGAAAUGUUCCUUUUUAAAUAUGGACUGACAAGGCAAAGAGUUAGAUCUGCCCAAACCUAAGAUCUUGAGGGCCUCUCUGUACUGGUGACCUCUCUUCUUGGGUUGUGGGUGUUAUCCUCACUGAAAUAGUGGUCCAUCUGCUGUCAUUCUCUGGAUUUUUUUUUUCAGCUUCACGGUUUCCUUGCUGUUCACAACUCAUGGUGCUGAAUAUUUUUUUCUUGGUUCCUUUAACUUCUUUAUCCCCUUCUUUGAGCCUCACAACCUAGUCCAGUGAUGGCGAACCUUUUAGAGACCGAGUGCCCAAACUUCAACCCAAAAUGCACUUAUGUAUUGCCGGGUGCCAGGAAAGAUGUCUACUCAAGAGUGUACCAACGAGCUAAUGAUGAUGCAGAAUGGCCGGUACUAUGGAUUUAUCAAGAAAAGAUGUAAACUACCAUCCCUGAAACAGACAUAAAUAAGGCAAAAUUAGGUGAUGAACCUCAGACGUUAUUGCACUUGGACACAAGGAACUGGGAGAAUAAACAAGGUUUCCAGCAAAAAGUCUCCCAGGAUGAAGGCUGGGAUGAAAAUACUUCAAACAAACAAACUAGCACCAUCGUCCAUUACCUGGGUUAAAGACUGAUAGAAAGCACUUGAAAACACAAUCAGUGUUAUCUAAAAUGAAGAGAUGCUUAUUCUUUGCUGUUCCAGCAGCUGAACACUGAGCUCUCCGCUACUCUAUCACUCCAAGAUCUCUGUGGUGACUGCUGCUUUAGAUGUCUAUUUGCACUCAAGUGCAGUAUGAAUGUUUGUAUACUUCCCUGCUAGAAACAGCGCGCAAAAAUACUUCUGCAGCUCAUAGCUGUCUUCGUUAAUCUCUCCACCCCCACAGAACAUUGGAAAGUAAUUAUGCAAUGGCGUUCUGUCUAUCUGUCCAUCAGUAGAAUCACUCUUCCAAGCAGUACAGAAGAGCAAAACCAAAUUUGAUACGGUGGGAGAACUCAACAAAAGAAAGGUGGGGUUUGAAGAUAGACUAGAUCAGGGGUAGGCAAC